CCUACGGGAGGCAGCAGUGAGGAAUAUUGGACAAUGGCCGGAAGGCUGAACCAGCCAUGCCGCGUGAAGGUCAGUGCCCUAUGGGCGUUAAACUUCUUUUGUGCGGGAGCAAUAAUGGUCACGUGUGGCCAGUCGAGCGUACCGUACGAAUCAGCUUCGGCUAACUCCGUGCCAGCAGCCGCGGUCAUACGGGGGAUGCAAGCGUUAUCCGGAUUUAUUGGGUUUAAAGGGUGCGUAGGCUGGGAGGGAAGUCAGCGGUGAAAUGCCACCGCUCAACGGGGUGAAGUGCCAUUGAUACUGCCUUGCUGGAAUGCGGAUGCCGGGGGAGGAAGGUGUGGUGUAGCGGGGAAAUGCAUAGAUAU
rnacentral:rRNA from 1 species